ACGAAGUAAACAAAUCCUCUCUGAACCAAAGAUGGAAUCAACAAAGAAAAAAAAAACUAGCUAGAUAUAAACAAAGAAAGGAAGUGGUAACUUAGAUCUCAUGGAACUCACGAACAACCGAUAUAGAUGUAGAGCCGAUUGAUGACGGACGCCAGAAUGAACAUGAAAGCGAAGCAAGUCCAAAUUAUUUGAGGUGAGAUAAGACUCCAAGAUAGGUUCCGAACAGAUAACCACGGGCCAACGCCUCUUAAGAACAUACUUCUUCUAAGGAAGCCACAAGACGACGUAUCUU
rnacentral:lncRNA from 1 species